UCAGGACCCGGUGAAAAUCCGGGUGGCUCUUCCGGCCGCCGAUCCGCCGGACAACG
rnacentral:ncRNA from 1 species